GUGGGGAAUUUUGGACAAUGGGCGAAAGCCUGAUCCAGCCAUGCCGCGUGCAGGAUGAAGGCCUUCGGGUUGUAAACUGCUUUUGUACGGAACGAAAAGACUCCUUCUAAUAAAGGGGGUCCAUGACGGUACCGUAAGAAUAAGCACCGGCUAACUACGUGCCAGCAGCCGCGGUAAUACGUAGGGUGCAAGCGUUAAUCGGAAUUACUGGGCGUAAAGCGUGCGCAGGCGGUUAUAUAAGACAGAUGUGAAAUCCCCGGGCUCAACCUGUGAACUGCAUGUGUGACUGUAUAGCUAGAGUACGGUAGAGGGGUAUGGAAUUCCGCGUGUAGCAGUGAAAUGCGUAGAUAUGCGGAGGAACACCGAUGGCGAAGGCAGUCCCCUGGGCCUGUACUGACGCUCAUGCACGAAAGCGUGGGGAGCAAACAGGAUUAGAAACCCGUGUAGUCC
rnacentral:rRNA from 1 species